ensembl:lncRNA
GGAACACGGAAAGAAUGAGGCCAUUUAUUUACCCAGAUGGUUUACUGGUGGAGGUGUGAGGCCGGCCAGCUCGCUGUGGGAACGCAGCGCUUGCUUUUCUUGGUAUCGCUGACCGUUUUUCAAGACUGCGGUGUGUGUGUGUGUGUGUGUGUGUGUGUGUGUGUGUCCUUCCCGGCUCUCCAGCUUUGUUUGUUCUGGAUGGCAUGUUUGAUUAUUUAUCGCGAGGGAAAAGGGAGUAGCUGGAGCAAUAAACAUGUGAUUGGACUGUAUUUAGUUUUCCACGCAGAAGGCCGUGUCCUUUAACUGAUGUUCCUUCGGGUAGUUUGAGCUGAAGCAGAAGACGCUCAGAGCGUCUCCCACCGCUUGUUUGCCGUAAGAACAACUUAUCAACAGAUGAAUAUUUCCUCUGGGCCGCUGCAGGUUCUUUUGUGUGCGUGAGUUUGUUUUGACGUCGAUCAUUGUUCCCGCCGUGUUUGCAGAGGGUUCGUUAGAUUUAUGACUGAAUGGGAGAGUGAAAAGAUGCUGUUUGUUAUCAACGGGCCGGCGAGGGGAGAUUAAUGGAAGACACAUCUGCUCUGACGAUAAGCAUCAGCGUCCUCAAGGGACUUUGAACGUAUCUACUUGUAGCAUUUCUAUUGGACUGUUUAACAAGCACAAUCUCUCUGUGCAUUUCUCUUUAUUAGGCUCUUCAAGUGGCCCGGCAGAUACUCCUCCGGCAGCAACAUCAACAACAACAACAACAACAGCAACAACAAAACACCGGCCGCAAGUCUCCCAAAGCCGUCGACAAGCAGCAGAGCCUCCAGGUACGUCUCGUUUAUUCCCCCGUGACAUCAUCAGAAGAGAGAAGAAGAGAAGGAAGGAAAGUGGGGAACUUGUGCAACUCGCUGUAGAACACCGUGUGCGAGGAAAAGCACUGAGCAAAGCUCACAAACAGGAAAUUAGAAUCGGCAUGUUUCCCCACGCACUGUGUGUGAUUAAGCAACUCACACACACACACACACACACACACACAUCAGCCACCCACGUGUCAUCUAAAUGUCGACAGAGAACACUAGAAGCUGCGGUAUGUAAGCAUGAAAUAAAUAGGCCAGAAUGUAAAAGAAGAACCUCUCUGUGGGCAGUUGAGCUCAUCCAGUCAUUCCAGUGCGGUGACACACAUCAGCAUGUUGUGUGGUCGAUCCCCACUUCUGUUUGUGGAAAAACGCCUUUUUUUAUCCCUGCUGACUGACUGGGUUUAGGAGGUAAAAGCAGGAGACGGGAAACGUGGAAGUGAGACGGAGCUUCACUCCUCUCACGGUCCAGCAGAGGAGCUUUCUGUUGACACACACACACACACACACACACACACACACACACACACACACACACACACACACACACACACACACACACACACACACACACACACACACACACACACACACACACACACACACACACACACACACACACACACACACACACACACACACGCCCUCAUCUGCCUGUGAGCGAAGACGGCCGGCGGCGUCCUCAUCAGGCCUCGGUAUACAAACACGUGGCCUCGGAAGCAGCUAAACACACUC